GAUGAACGCUGGCGGCGUGCUUAACACAUGCAAGUCGAACGGGAAACCUUUUAUUGAAGCUUCGGCAGAUUUAGCUGGUUUCUAGUGGCGGACGGGUGAGUAACGCGUGGGUAACCUGCCUUAUACAGGGGGAUAACAACCAGAAAUGGUUGCUAAUACCGCAUAAGCGCACAGGACCGCAUGGUCCGGUGUGAAAAACUCCGGUGGUAUAAGAUGGACCCGCGUUGGAUUAGCUAGUUGGCAGGGUAACGGCCUACCAAGGCGACGAUCCAUAGCCGGCCUGAGAGGGUGAACGGCCACAUUGGGACUGAGACACGGCCCAGACUCCUACGGGAGGCAGCAGUGGGGAAUAUUGCACAAUGGGGGAAACCCUGAUGCAGCGACGCCGCGUGAGGGAAGAAGUAUCUCGGUAUGUAAACUUCUAUCAGCAGGGAAGAUAGUGACGGUACCUGACUAAGAAGCCCCGGCUAACUACGUG
rnacentral:rRNA from 1 species